CGGCAGCGCGGACUUCGGUCUGGCGGCGAGUGGCGAACGGGUGAGUAAUACAUCGGAACGUGUCCUGUAGUGGGGGAUAGCCCGGCGAAAGCCGGAUUAAUACCGCAUACGCUCUACGGAGGAAAGGGGGGGAUCUUAGGACCUCUCGCUACAGGGGCGGCCGAUGGCAGAUUAGCUAGUUGGUGGGGUAAAGGCCUACCAAGGCGACGAUCUGUAGCUGGUCUGAGAGGACGACCAGCCACACUGGGACUGAGACACGGCCCAGACUCCUACGGGAGGCAGCAGUGGGGAAUUUUGGACAAUGGGCGCAAGCCUGAUCCAGCAAUGCCGCGUGUGUGAAGAAGGCCUUCGGGUUGUAAAGCACUUUUGUCCGGAAAGAAAUCCUUUGAGUUAAUACCUCGGGGGGAUGACGGUACCGGAAGAAUAAGCACCGGCUAACUACGUGCCAGCAGCCGCGGUAAUACGUAGGGUGCAAGCGUUAAUCGGAAUUACUGGGCGUAAAGCGUGCGCAGGCGGUUCGCUAAGACAGAUGUGAAAUCCCCGGGCUUAACCUGGGAACUGCAUUUGUGACUGGCGGGCUAGAGUAUGGCAGAGGGGGGUAGAAUUCCACGUGUAGCAGUGAAAUGCGUAGAGAUGUGGAGGAAUACCGAUGGUGAAGGCAGCCCCCUGGGCCAAUACUGACGCUCAUGCACGAAAGCGUGGGGAGCAAACA
rnacentral:rRNA from 1 species